GUUGCUUUGCUUACGAAUAUGUUGACACUUUCCGACGUCAAACCUCCAAACCCUCUCUCCAAUUGCUGUAUACACAGACAUCGGUCUCAUUUCUCUCUCUAUUUUUCUGCAACUUUCUUUAGUUUAUUUUCUUCUUUACCCGAGCUCCCUUCAGUCUUAAUCCGUACAAAUCUUCCACUCUCAUUUUCCCUCCUUUUUUGUUAUUUUUUUAUUUUUUUUUCUGUUUCUUCAUUGAUUGACCCAUCUAUCUUCAAUUUUCAUUUUGAGGUUUUGUUUGAGUCGUUUUUCUUAUGGGUUCAUUGAUUUUUGUUGAAAGAAUCUGAAUUGGCGGGAGCCAACGGUCAAUUAUGUGGUUUUAGGAGGUGGGUGGUGAUUGGAUUUGGAUUUGGGAUUGGAAAACGUUUGAAUUGUUGUGAGUUUUGAUGGCUAACCCAUCUGGGAACCAUCAAGAAGCUGGCCAACCGUCGUCUUCCUUCGAUGGAGGGAACCCCAGCAACGGUAAUUCGACACCUGUGCCUGCAGCGGAUAAUUCGAGUUCGGCUCUUGCUAUGAAGCAUAACCCAGGUAUCUCUACGGAUUGGACAUCUGAUGAGCAGGUCACACUGGAAGAAGGGCUUAAGAAAUAUGCCGCAGAGUCUAGUGUUAUUCGGUAUGCCAAGAUUGCAAUGCAACUACCAAAUAAGACUGUACGAGAUGUUGCUUUGCGUUGCAGAUGGAUGAAUAAAAAGGAAAAUAGCAAGAGAAGGAAGGAAGAACACAAUUUAACAAGAAAGAACAAAGAUAAAAAGGAAAGAGUAUCUGACUCUUCAAUGAAGUCAGCACAGGUUGCAGCAAGGCCUAAUGUGCCUCCUUAUGGAAUGCCUAUGAUUCCUAUGGACAAUGAUGACGGUGUCUCAUAUAAAGCUAUUGGUGGUACAACUGGAGAGCUUCUUGAACAGAAUGCACAUGCAAUGAAUCAAAUUUCUUCUAAUCUUGCAUCUUUUCAGAUACAAGAUAAUAUCAGUCUCUUCUGCCAAACGCGGGACAACAUCCUCAAAAUAAUGAACGAUGUUAGGUGAGUUGUCUCGUGGACUAAGUCGAAGUGUGUGCAAGCUGGUUCGUAUGCUCACGGACAUAGAAAAGGGUUUCUUCUAGUGAAGUUGGAGUAUCCUUUUGGUCAUAACCAAUGGAUGUUUAAAAUGAUAUUAGCUUAGACUUGUUUUCUGCGUACUUUCCCCCCUUAUUUGUAAGGGUCUCCUUAGCUUUUCAAAUAUUCUUACUUGUUAAUGUACCUUUAGUAAAAUUGAAAACAUUUAAUAUAUAUAUAUAUAUAUAUAUAUAUAUAUAUAUAUAUAUAUAUAUUCUUAAUGCUGUCGAAAGACAAUUGGAUAAAAGAACGCUCAAUGUCAUACAAAUACGUGGACACAUUGCACAAAUAAUCCAUGCUGUUAAUGUACAUCUAGUAGGAAACUUCACUUUUAAUUUUCCUGGCUUAACUUUAACUUGGUGAACUUUUACUUUCAAGAUAGCCAUGCUGUGCUGUUGAAAAGUCGAUUUGCUUCCAGCAUCUUAUUUAGGUAGACUUGGGAGAUAAUCCUAUGUUCUUUCCUCAUGGAAACCUAUCUCACAGACGAUAACAAAGAAACAGCCAAAUGUAGGAAUUGUUGUUCCAAGGCAGCACUCACUCGCAUUAUUUCCUAUUAGUUUUUAAUGACACUGCUUGCUUGCCCAAGCGUAUUUAUAUAUGUGAAGAAGCCAAUAAAAUAGGAGACUUCAGCCUUGAACUAAAAUAUUGUUCCUCUCCCGAUGCUUAAGAGGUCUUCACUUCCACAGGUCAGUGGAAUGAAAUAAGGGCCUUCUAGCCAAAUGGUUUUGGUGCUUGAUUGUAAACUUAUGGCUCUUAAUACAAAAAGGAUAGAUGGAUUUGAUUUGGUUCAUGGGAUGAGAACAUGUGGCUUUCUAGUUUUUGCAAACUUAAGAUCUUGAGAAGCCCUUUGUCUAAGAUUAUUAAUUAAGCUUGAAGAUUUGUUCCUUAGUUUCUCUUCCAUGAAGACUAGAGAGAUUAGUUAUCGGCCUUUUUUCAGCUUUGAUGAUCAAAGUGGGGUGGCAGUAGAAAACUCAUAGUACACACAGGUACAUCUUAAUGUUAUCUUUUUCUGGAGCAGAACUUUCCCCAAGUCUAGCUGAACACACCCUGCUUGGGAUCAAUGUGAGUAUGGUGAGGAGGCUGAUAUUGGGCUGCAGAUUUCCUCUCUGGCUAACAAUCUCCCAUAAUUUUCUAAGCUUCUCGUCAGUUGGAAACCGUAGUGGAUGAUUAUUCUAAGAGCCACUUAUCAUAAAUUGAGGACCAAGUUGAAUGUUUGGAAAUGCGUUCUUUCUAAAGGAGAUAGGGUGUCCCUUGCCCAAUCCAUCCUUAAUGUUUUACUCCAAAUCCAUUUGAAUGUAGAAGUUGCCUAAAAAAUGCAAGGUUUCUGUAGGCACUCACUAUUUCUGAUAUAUUUCAAUAGAAAGUAGAGGAUACAAGCUUCCCGAGCAUUUACAGAGUGCUCAAGCAUAGGAUUUCCCAUUAGGUAAGAUCUAAGAUUAGAAGGUUUUGCGGCAAAAGUUCUUCCUCCUACCUCAGUCUAAAAUUAUGGAGUUGGAUGGAUCUUGAUAGGGGAGUGAUUUCCUCCGAUGCUAUGUCUGGGCUAUGAGAUGCCACGAAGUUUGUAUAGGGCAUAUAACCAACCAUUACACACCCAUUUAGAUUGUUGAGAUAAUAUUAAGUUUACUUGUUAUUUCACUCGUUCCCCCUUACAAAGAAGGCAAGUCUCAAAAGAAAUUCCAAUGAAGCAAAUCAUGACACUGGAAGAAAUUUUAAUAAAGCACCAAUGGUUAUGCUCAUUACCAGAGAAUUUCAGUGACACUUGAUGCAUCACAGACAAUUCCCAUGAAGCAACGUAGCAACACAAUAAUCAAACCUAUUAUGUUCAAAUAUUGAGCACCGGUGAUGUCUAGAAGUGCGUCAGACCCAGCUGAUCAGGCUUAUUAUCAGUUAUUGACGAAGAUUCAAUUUGGUAAUGCCAGAAAACACUGGCUAUACAAGGCUUCAACGAAGGUGAUUUUCAACUGUUGAGAAAAGAUUUCAAACUUCAACAGAAGGAAAACCGUUUGAAGAAAACAGAAAAAAGAAAUUCAGCUAAGAGAUUUCAGCCAUGCUCUGAUACUACGUUGCAAUGCACAUCAUGUAAGAGAACAAUCUACGUCUUCAAAGGGGAGUAUUUUCUGGGGAGUUCUUUUGGAACCGGUCUCUGUUUGAUUUGGAAGAUUUAUUCGAGUUACUCUGGGAUGGCAUUGACAAGACAAUUUUGAGGCAGCCGGCUGCUACUCUUUCUUCUCUCGUCUUGAAGAUUUGGGCGUGCAAGUUUUUAUAUUCGAAUGGGCUCCUCUUGAGGGUUUUCAAGCUUAAAUGAAAUGCCGGAAGUAAUGAAGCAGAUGCCACCUCUUCCGGUGAAGGUGAACGAAGAGUUAGCGAACACGAUCCUUCCGCCGACUUCUCAUUCCUUGCAAUCAUGAAAAAUCUUCAACAAAAACUGGUUCAGCAAAAACACAGACUCCCUUUCAAUUCACUUCCACAUGCCAGGAAAGGAAAGGAAAGUAUAUUUUCUCAACUGAACCUUACCUUCUCAAUUCAGAAUUUUCUGCUUAUCAUCAAAUUGUUUAGUCUUUCGGUUCACAAAGCUUGUUCCCCUUUAAUUAUUAUUAUUAUUUUUUGUUUCUUUAGCAUAUAUGGAUUUAUACAUUAGCUUCAAGAGGUUAGAUUGUAACUUAGAUGCUGUGUAAUAAUUAGGAAUUGUUUUCUUUCUAAUGGUCUGGGAAAUGAAAAGUAAUAAACAAUGGUUGAUUAUUUGUA